GACGAACGCUGGCGGCGUGCUUAACACAUGCAAGUCGAACGGAAAGGUCAUGCUUUUGUGGGGUGCUCGAGUGGCGAACGGGUGAGUAACACGCGAGUAACCUGCCCUUGACUUUGGGAUAACUUUAGGAAACUGGGGCUAAUAUCGGAUAGGAGCUCCUGAUGCAUGGUGGGGGUUGGAAAGUUUCGGUGGUUGGGGAUGGACUCGCGGCUUAUCCGCUUGUUGGUGGGGUAGUGGCUUACCAAGGUUUUGACGGGUAGCCGGCCUGAGAGGGUGACCGGCCACAAUGGGACUGAGAUACGGCCCAGACUCCUACGGGAGGCAGCAGUGGGGAAUAUUGCACAAUGGGCGGAAGCCUGAUGCAGCAACGCCGCGUGCGGGAUGACGGCCUUCGAGUUGUAAACCGCUUUCGCCUGUGACGAAGCGUGAGUGACGGUAAUGGGUAAAGAAGCACCGGCUAACUACGUG
rnacentral:rRNA from 1 species